rnacentral:rRNA from 1 species
GGUGGGGAUGACGUCAAGUCCUCAUGGCCUUUAUGUCCAGGGCUACACACGUACUACAAUGGGCGGUACAAAGGGCAGCGAAGGAGCGAUCCGGAGCAAAUCCCAAAAAGCCGUUCACAGUUCGGAUUGGAGUCUGCAACUCGACUCCAUGAAGGUGGAAUCGCUAGUAAUCGCGGAUCAGCAUGCCGCGGUGAAUACGUUCCCGGGCCUUGUACACACCGCCCGUCACACCACGAAAGUCGGCUGUACCAGAAGUGCGUGGGCUAACUUGCAAAAGGGGCAGCGUACCAAGGUGUGGUCGGUAAUUGGGGUG